CCUACGGGUGGCAGCAGUGAGGAAUAUUGGUCAAUGGGCGUAAGCCUGAACCAGCCAAGUCGCGUGAGGGAUGAAGGUUCUAUGGAUCGUAAACCUCUUUUAUAAGGGAAUAAAGUGGGGGACGUGUCCUAUUUUGUAUGUACCUUAUGAAUAAGGAUCGGCUAACUCCGUGCCAGCAGCCGCGGUAAUACGGAGGAUCCGAGCGUUAUCCGGAUUUAUUGGGUUUAAAGGGUGCGUAGGCGGCCUUUUAAGGCAGCGGGGAAAUUCUGUGGCUCAACCAUAGAAUUGCCGUGGAGACUGGGGGACUUGAGUAUGUUAGAGGCAGGCGGAAUGCGUGGUGAAGCGGUGAAAUGCUUAGAUAUAUCGCAGAACCCCGAUUGCGAAGGCAGCCUGCCAAGCCAUGACUGACGCUGAUGCACGAAAGCGUGGGGAGCAAACAGGAUUAGAUACCCGUGUAGUC
rnacentral:rRNA from 1 species